rnacentral:rRNA from 1 species
UACAGGGGGGGCAAGCGUUGUUCGGAAUUACUGGGCGUAAAGGGCUCGUAGGUGGCCAACUAAGUCAGACGUGAAAUCCCUCAGCUUAACUGGGGAACUGCGUCUGAUACUGGAUGGCUUGAGUUUGGGAGAGGGAUGCGGAAUUCCAGGUGUAGCGGUGAAAUGCGUAGAUAUCUGGAGGAACACCCAGGGGGAAACCAGCCGACUGGGCAUCUGCCUGACGCUGAGGUGCGAGAGCGUGGGGGAGCGAACCGG